AACCAUGUCAGGGACGUAAUAUGCAUGGUUGUAAAAAUUGAGGGAUGUAUUUUAUCCGGUUUUGAAGUUCAGAGAUGAAAAACAGACUUUUGCGAAAGUUGAGGGACGUAAAGUGGACUUCUUCCUUUCCAAAAAGUGCAGAAGUUUUAGGUGGCCGGGCCUCAAAGGCACAAACGGACCUACAUGUGAAAGCCCAAGAAACCCAGCUUACUUUAGUUCUGAGCUCUCACGUAAGCGCAGCACCGAAAUACAUCCGGCCCGUAAACACGCGAGAGCCCAACGUCCAAGUCGUCGUGAUCUGGGCUCUCUCCACCAAAUCGACCUGCGAACUUUCGGGCCUAUCACAACCAGCCCAAACCGCCUGAGUCGAGCGCCGCGUGGGGAGCCGGAGAGGGUACCGUAGCGUAGAGGACGUGCGCGGCCGUGCCGCCGGCGCCGGGCACCUGCUCCGUCCGGUAGGAAGCCGCGCGGCCGCAGGGAUGCCGGUGGUGACCUCUCUUCCUGGGCUUCCGCGUGGGACCAAGCGCUUGCUCCGCCAUUCCCCUCCGCUCCGCGCCGAUCGACAUCAACUUCACCCCGCUCCUUCGACUCGCCGUUCUCCUAUGCCGGAAUCAAAGGUGGAUCCAUUUAUCCAUAUUUUAAAGGAACCUUAAGGUGAGAUAAGGUCGGGUCAUCUUACAGACCUACAUGAAUUGAGCAGUCUAAUUCUGAAGUUUGCAUACCUGAUCAAUAUGUAAACCCUGAAAGAUCUUGCUACAAAUUCACCAUGAUGAAACACACACGAUGGAGCUCUAGCAGAAAAGUGUUUAAUGCCCUAUAAUUAUUUCAAUUAUAUAGCAUAAAGAUGGACAAGAAGGGACAAAUGAGGAUAGCUCAGGAUCAGAUGAACGAUGUAUCGUGUCUGAACUGUAGCUGCUCAUUGUUCUGAUGGAAAUUCAACCACCACCCUUCAAUUUGUAUUUGUGUAUUUCUCUGGAUUGACGCACUAUUAUGCCUUUUAUCGUCAUAAAAUCCAAAUCGCUAUGUUGUUUGCAAGAUUUACAUGAUGAGGAAGCUUAAGGGUGGAAGGUAUAUUCCCUGUUCAGAUUACUACUGGGGAAUGAGCCAUGAGUUAGUUAUGCAAGGAAUAUAUUUUGAUCCACAUGAAGGUUCCAUACAAUCAUUUGAGAGGAACAUGCUAUGGAAGCAAUCGAAUUUAAAAGGAUGGAUGAUUUUUUAACAAAAGUGACAGUGUAGGUGCCCAAAGGAAUGGUAAUGCAAUAGCUUCGGCAAAAACAGCAUAAACAAUAUUGUGGAGGACAAUGGACAAGAACGUAAUCAGAUUCGAUAGACGACAAUUAAGCUGUGCAAUGAGUAUUAUCGAAUUGACGGACGAAUUAUGCAAGGCAGAACAACGCUACAAAAGGAUCUUAUUUGUUAGUAAUUCAUUAGGCUUUUUU